rnacentral:rRNA from 1 species
GAUGAACGCUGGCGGCGUGCCUAAUACAUGCGAGUCGAGCGAACAGACGAGGAGCUUGCUCCUCUGACGUUAGCGGCGGACGGGUGAGUAACACGUGGAUAACCUACCUAUAAGACUGGGAUAACUUCGGGAAACCGGAGCUAAUACCGGAUAAUAUAUUGAACCGCAUGGUUCAAUAGUGAAAGACGGUUUUGCUGUCACUUAUAGAUGGAUCCGCGCCGCAUUAGCUAGUUGGUAAGGUAACGGCUUACCAAGGCAACGAUGCGUAGCCGACCUGAGAGGGUGAUCGGCCACACCGGAACUGAGACACGGUCCAGACUCCUACGGGAGGCAGCAGUAGGGAAUCUUCCGCAAUGGGCGAAAGCUUGACGGAGCAACGCCGCGUGAGUGAUGAAGGUCUUCGGAUCGUAAAACUCUGUUAUUAGGGAAGAACAAAUGUGUAAGUAACUAUGCACGUCUUGACGGUACCUAAUCAGAAAGCCACGGCUAACUACGUG